rnacentral:lncRNA from 1 species
GAUAUCCUAGAGCAUAAAGUAAAAUCUAGGGAGGAAAGAUCUAACCAUGAGAUAGAAAGCUUUAUGACACAAGACAAGGAAGAAUUCCCUCCUUUGGUUUAAGCCUCAAGCAAGCCAGAAUAAACAAAUAAUAAUCCAUGUAUCAAAUGAAACCAGAGUAACUCAACCAAGUCUCCAAAGGAAGUCCAAAGUCAAAGGUACCAGAUAGAUUCUAAGGUAUCAAAUCACAAGUCCAAAGUAAAGGUCAAGGUCCUAAUUCUAAGUCCAC